rnacentral:rRNA from 1 species
ACGCUGGCGGCGUGCCUAAUACAUGCAAGUCGAACGCACAGCGAAAGGUGCUUGCACCUUUCAAGUGAGUGGCGAACGGGUGAGUAACACGUGGACAACCUGCCUCAAGGCUGGGGAUAACAUUUGGAAACAGAUGCUAAUACCGAAUAAAACUUAGUGUCGCAUGACACAAAGUUAAAAGGCGCUUCGGCGUCACCUAGAGAUGGAUCCGCGGUGCAUUAGUUAGUUGGUGGGGUAAAGGCCUACCAAGACAAUGAUGCAUAGCCGAGUUGAGAGACUGAUCGGCCACAUUGGGACUGAGACACGGCCCAAACUCCUACGGGAGGCUGCAGUAGGGAAUCUUCCACAAUGGGCGAAAGCCUGAUGGAGCAACGCCGCGUGUGUGAUGAAGGCUUUCGGGUCGUAAAGCACUGUUGUAUGGGAAGAACAGCUAGAAUAGGAAAUGAUUUUAGUUUGACGGUACCAUACCAGAAAGGGACGGCUAAAUACGUGCCAGCAGCCGCGGUAAUACGUAUGUCCCGAGCGUUAUCCGGAUUUAUUGGGCGUAAAGCGAGCGCAGACGGUUUAUUAAGUCUGAUGUGAAAGCCCGGAGCUCAACUCCGGAAUGGCAUUGGAAACUGGUUAACUUGAGUGCAGUAGAGGUAAGUGGAACUCCAUGUGUAGCGGUGGAAUGCGUAGAUAUAUGGAAGAACACCAGUGGCGAAGGCGGCUUACUGGACUGCAACUGACGUUGAGGCUCGAAAGUGUGGGUAGCAAACAGGAUUAGAUACCCUGGUAGUCCACACCGUAAACGAUGAACACUAGGUGUUAGGAGGU